ACCUGACGGAGUGACGCCGCGUGGGGGACGAAGGCCUUCGGGUCGUAAACCCCUGUCAGAGGGAAAGAAGGGUGUCGGCGCGAUAACCGCCGGCACCUGACGGUACCUUCAGAGGAAGCCCCGGCCAACUCUGUGCCAGCAGCCGCAGUAAGACAGAGGGGGCAAGCGUUGCUCGGAAUCACUGGGCGUAAAGGGCGCGUAGGCGGAGGGCAAGUCAGUCGUGAAAUCCUUCGGCUCAACCGAAGAACGUCGGCUGAUACUGCCUUUCUUGAGGGAUGCAGAGGAGACUGGAAUUCCCGGUGUAGCGGUGAAAUGUGUAGAGAUCGGGAGGAACACCGGUGGCGAAGGCGGGUCUCUGGGCAUCUCCUGACGCUGAGGCGCGGAAGCGUGGGGAGCAAACGGGAUUAGAUACCCCGGUAGUCCACGCUGUAAACGAUGACGACUAGGUGUGGGGGGGUUCAGUCCUUUCCGUGCCGCAGCUAACGCAUUAAGUCGUCCGCCUGGGGAGUACGGCCGCAAGGUUG
rnacentral:rRNA from 1 species